rnacentral:tRNA from 1 species
CCUGAUAGCUCAGUUGGUAGAGCACUCGACUGUUAAUCGAGUUGUCACAGGUUCGAGU